rnacentral:rRNA from 1 species
GUGUCAGCAGCCGCGGUAAUACGUAGGUGGCAAGCGUUGUCCGGAUUUACUGGGCGUAAAGGGAGCGUAGGUGGAUAUUUAAGUGGGAUGUGAAAUCCCCGGGCUUAACCUGGGGGCUGCAUUCCAAACUGGAUGUCUAGAGUGCAGGAGAGGAGAGUGGAAUUCCUAGUGUAGCGGUGAAAUGCGUAGAGAUUAGGAAGAACACCAGUGGCGAAGGCGACUCUCUGGACUGUAACUGACACUGAGGCUCGAAAGCGUGGGGAGCAAACAGGAUUAGAUACCCUCGUAGUCC